AGGAAUGUAGGCAAACCUGUUCCUCGGUCUGCAGGGAUUACUUGACAGAAGCUGAUGUGAUUCUCCAGAGUUGCAGUUGAGUGUCCUUGAUGGAGCUUUUUCUAAGCUGCAGUUUAGUUUCCCUUUUCAUCUCAUUGACCUUGCUACUUGCUUGAAAAGAAGGGUCUAUCAAAGGAUUGUUGAACGGAAUUUAAUAUGUUCGUGGCACUGUCCAAAGAGGAGGAAGUCCCAGGCUAAGAAGGAAGGAGCCAGAAAGAAAAGUAUCCUGCCUCAGUUUUCUCUGUUCUUCAACUUGAACUUGAAUUUGAGCAAAUCUGCAGUAGGGAGGUAUUCCUCAGAAUAUUCCCUGUCUUAUCUGCCAGGCUUCAUCAAUCAUAAGUUAAAGGCAGCCGAGAAGUCUUUCUCACUCAGCUUUUUGCAUAGCCAAGCAGAGAUUUCCAAAACGGCAGCACCCAGAAGACGGGUUGGAAAAAGGAAAGUAAAAAGAGGUCACAAACGCAACCUGAAUGUUUUAAAUAUGACUUCAUGUUCAGCAGGAACCCAACCCAAGAUAGGCGAAACUGGUGGGCGUGUGAGUACAUAACAGUCAGAGAAAACCAGGAAAAAGGUGUUCAGAAGAACAUUGAGAGGUGCAAGUCCUGCCGGAUGUGAGUCAUUUCUUGUUUUCUUCUGUUCUCUUCAUUCCUCUGGAAUGAAGGACCCAGUCAAAAAGCUUUCUUGAUCUUGAUCUCGUAGAUUCAGUUUGUGAAAAAAUCUGGCUGUCUGGCAGUGUUCUGCCUUGUCUGGUUUUGUGACAAUUUGCCCAGGCUCAACUCGAGAGACAAGAGCUUGGCUCAAAAAAGAUGGAUGUCAAGAUGAUGUGGUUGUUCUCCAUGCCACACCAAGACACAGAGUUGGAAAUCGGCUCUUCCAAAUGAAUUGAAGACAUUCAUACUUCCGGCCUCUGUAAUUAGACUCACAACCUUGGAUUACCGUAAUAUCCUGAUGCUUUGGGUAGUUAAUGUGAACCAUUGAAGCAGCAAAAGAAUCUAGUUUUUUGACUUUUUAUGAAUGGAGGCGAACAUACGUGUCCCAAUAUAAUGUUUCAGAAUCCAAUCUGGGUCAGUCACCAGGACCAGAGGUUUACUCUUCCGAGUUUUCGGACACGUGCUGGAGCCCAACUUCGAGGAACUUCUCUUUAGCCUUUUUUUGUUUUUUCUUCAGCAACCUGGUGUUGUGUCCUUGAGUCAUGGAUGAAGAAAUGGGGGUCCUCAAUGAGGGGGAGAGCAGAGGGAUGGCAAGACCAGACACCUUGGAGAGUGACAACCCUGGCAAGUCCCCUGCUUUGAAUGUCCGCAGAUUGCGCAACCUGGCCAUAGCUAGCAUCAUCUGUGGCUGUUCGUGCAUUGGGGUUGUGGCUCUGAUCUAUGCAGUCAAGGCAAAUGAGAAGCAAAAGACCCAUUGCCAGAAUGCAGCGCUUCACUGGGCUCGGAAAUCUCAGCUUAUGUCUUGCCUGAGUAUCAUUGUCUGGGUUUCCCUUCUUAUUCUGACCCCCAUGUUACUAGUCCUCAUGUCUUACCUCAUAGCGAAAGCAGAAUGAUGAGCCACAUCAUUCGGUGAUUUUGGGCUUCCAGAAUCCAUGUUGACUAUUGUGGUUUCUUUGGUUGAAUUAAGUCCAAGCAAGCACUGAAGUAUUUCUUGUGGUGGCACUUUUUUCAUUGAUUUGGCUCCAUGGGCGGGAAAAAUGGCGGACCCCAUUUUUUUUUCUCCUGCAGUCAAGCAGAGGUGGGUUCCAUUGUCUGCAGGAGAAAAAAAAUGAGGCCCGCCAUUUCCCCCGCCCAUGGAGCCAAAUCAGUGAAGAAGGUUUUAUGCUCAGCGGCGGCAUCUUGAUUCUCUGUUCUACACUUGCACAGAACAAUCUUCACCGAAAAAAUGUAAUCCCCCCCCCUUUUUUUUAAUGUGCGCAUGCACAGACCUUUUUACGUGCAAAUGCGCAUGCACACAGAACCGGUAGUAAUGCCGGCAGGAACCCACACCUGAGACAAUGUAGAAGGAUUCAUUCUGCUCGACGUAAGACACCUAGCUUAUUCCAUCUGUUAUCAUACUUCUCCAUUUGAUGUACUCUACAUGUUGGACUACACCUCGCAUCAUUCCUAGCCAGGAUUUCCACAUGAUGCGGAAUUCUCAGAAGCACCUGUACUUGAUUGAAAUAUUUCUAUUUCUGUUUCAUGAAAUGUUCUUCCCUGGUGGAAAGAUAUACACCUAUUGUAGAAAACCCCUGAUAGUGAAAGAGUGAGUUUGGAAAAAAGGAAAUCAAAUUUAUUUGGCAUACAGAUGAUUUGAAUUAUUGUGUGCUUCAGGCCGAACCAUCUCAUUUGGGCUCAAAGAAUCCCUCCCCCUUUCUACCAAAAGUAGUUUCCCUUUGAUGGAGGGCGCAGAAAGCUCUGUAUCUCCAAUGAGGGGUUAUUUCAGUAAUCUCCUUUUUAUCUCUUGUGGGUGGCACAAAUAACUUAGGCUUAGAAUGACUUUAUUGUCACUUUGAAUGUACACGGCAUACAUGAAAUGAAAUGUUGCAUACAGCUCUCAAAGGGUCAC